rnacentral:rRNA from 1 species
CAGAGGGGGCGAGCGUUGUUCGGAAUUACUGGGCGUAAAGGGCGCGUAGGCGGCCUGCUAAGUCAUACGUGAAAUCCCUCGGCUCAACCGGGGAACUGCGUGUGAUACUGGCGGGCUUGAAUUCGGGAGAGGGAUGCGGAAUUCCAGGUGUAGCGGUGAAAUGCGUAGAUAUCUGGAGGAACACCGGUGGCGAAGGCGGCAUCCUGGACCGAUAUUGACGCUGAUGCGCGAAAGCCAGGGGAGCAAACGGGAUUAGAUACCCCGGUAGUCCUGGCCCUAAACGAUGAGUGCUUGGUGUGGCGGGUAUCGAUCCCUGCCGUGCCGAAGCUAACGCAUUAAGCACUCCGCCUGGGGAGUACGGUCGCAAGGCUG